GGGCGAUUGGCUCAGUGGUUAGAGCACUCGCUUCACACGCGAGGGGUCACUGGUUCGAAUCCAGUAUCGCCCA
rnacentral:tRNA from 1 species